rnacentral:rRNA from 1 species
UACGUAGGGUGCGAGCGUUAAUCGGAAUUACUGGGCGUAAAGCGUGCGCAGGCGGUUUUGUAAGCCAGAUGUGAAAUCCCCGGGCUUAACCUGGGAAUGGCAUUUGGGACUGCAAGGCUGGAGUUUGGCAGAGGAGACUGGAAUUCCUGGUGUAGCAGUGAAAUGCGUAGAUAUCAGGAGGAACACCGAUGGCGAAGGCAGGUCUCUGGGCUGAAAACUGACGCUCAUGCACGAAAGCGUGGGGAGCAAACAGG